UACGAAGGGUGCAAGCGUUAUUCGGAAUCAUUGGGCGUAAAGCGCGCGCAGGCGGAUUGACAAGUCAGGUGUGAAAUCUCGGGGCUCAACCUCGAAACUGCGCCUGAAACUGUUAGUCUAGAGUGUCGGAGGGGGUAGGGGAAUUUCACGUGUAGGGGUAAAAUCCGUAGAGAUGUGAAGGAACACCGGGGGCGAAGGCGCCUACCUGGACGACUACUGACGCUGAGGCGCGAAAGCGUGGGGAGCAAACAGG
rnacentral:rRNA from 1 species